UUAAAAUGUAAAAAUUAUGCUAGAGUAGUAAUAGAUAUGAACUUGAAACUUAAAAAAUUUGGCGGUAUUUUAGUCUAUUCAGAGGAACCUGUUCUGUAAUCGAUAAUCCACGAUGGACCUCACUUAAGCUUGUAAUCAGUUUAUAUACCGUCGUUAUCAGGGAAUUUUAAAAGAAAUUUAAUUCCCAAUAAUUUUAAUAGAAUUUAUAUCAGAUCAAGGUGUAGCUUAUGUUUAAGAAGAAAUGGGUUACAAUAAAUUUAUUUAAAUGGAUUUCUUUUUGAAAUGAAAGAAUGAAAGUGGAUUUGAUAGUAAAAUUUUAAAGAUUAAAAAUUUGAUUAUAGCUCUAAAAUAUGC
rnacentral:rRNA from 1 species